rnacentral:piRNA from 1 species
UGACAGCUCUCUGGGUCCGUGGUUUC